UACGUAGGGCGCAAGCGUUGUCCGGAAUUAUUGGGCGUAAAGAGCUCGUAGGCGGCUUGUCACGUCGGGUGUGAAAGCCCGGGGCUUAACCCCGGGUCUGCAUUCGAUACGGGCAGGCUAGAGUGUGGUAGGGGAGAUCGGAAUUCCUGGUGUAGCGGUGAAAUGCGCAGAUAUCAGGAGGAACACCGGUGGCGAAGGCGGGUCUCUGGGUCGAUACUGACGCUGAGGAGCGAAAGCGUGGGGAGCAAACAGG
rnacentral:rRNA from 1 species